rnacentral:tRNA from 1 species
GGAUUGUGGCUCAGUGGUACAGUGCUUGCCUAGCAUGCAUGAAGCACUGGGUUCUAUUCUCAGCACCA